GCGCUUUUUGUAAAAACGAUGUAAACAAAACCAACCGGUUGACGUCAUUGAUUUGACGUUGAUGAACCAAUGAUAAUGAUAAAUGAUAAAAUUUUUCAAUUUUCAUUUUUCAUUAUUUUUCCUAUAUUUUUUCCUCUAGACAGCAUCGCCAUAAUUUUGUGAAUGUAAUUUAUACACGUUCUCUUGAGUUUUCCGUCGCUUUUCCUAAUCUCUUCCAAGUUCCUCUUUAAUUUCCAAUCAUAAAAGUGCAACUAGGAUGAUGGACGAUUCAUUGAUCGCAUUGAACAAGUUCAUGGUGUACUUUACAUGAAAAUGAUCGAUUAAAAUCAUCGAAAUAACUGAAAUAAGACAUUUGAUAGGCCGUCAAGUAGAAGAUCUGGCUCGAAUCUUUGACCCUCAUCAUGGCUGGAAAAAACUCAUGUCAUGUAGUAGGAACGACUACUUGUCAGAAAACGACAGAAAGACAUCAGAUUAAUGGAAGAAGCUGGACAAGAUAUUCAACAGCGUUCUUUCACUGAAAUUCUAGGUACUAUCAGAAUAAGGUACCAGUGACCGAGAGAAACCUACCAUUCGAACUUCGAACUCUGCAUAGAUUCAUAAUGAAAGCGCAGCUUAUUUGAGUCGCUGAUUACGUUUCGGAUAAGAUAUUGCAAGAGCCACCGUUGAAGAAAUCUGAUGAUACGACGCGACGAUGAGAUAUUUUUGAUGCUCAAAUAAUAAUAUGUUUUGUAUCGCAACAAUAUUGAUAUUUGUACAUUUCAAAACAUUUUUUGAUUCGAUUCUAGCGAAGUAGGUAUUGGAUCCUGAAACGAUUUCUCGCCUAAAGUCCUUUAGUUUAUUUGCCUACCGUUGAAUAUGAUAAUGGUAGACAAUCGGGAGAUAUUUCUGAUUCUAUGCCAGUUUAUUGUCGGAGAAAACCACUCCGCCGAAGAAUGGUUUACUCGAGGAGAAAUUGAGAAUCAAAACUUGGUCAAUUUCGAUAUCAUGAAGAGUUGUAUGAAUAAUUCUGACUGUAGCUCUAUUUUGGGAAGCGGAGGCUUCGUAAUUGUUUAUUUCGGUCAAUUUGGUGAUAGUGGCUGUAUCGCUGAAUGAAAUACUUUGCUUGAUUUACGAGUUAAUGCCAAAUGAAUUUCUAGAUGAACGAUUAGCCUGUAAAGUUUGAAAGAAUUCCCAGCGAUGAGUUAGCAGUAACGGAUUGAAGUAGUAUACUUACAUUCAGCAUUUGAGGUUCCAUUUAUCGUGAUAUAAAAUCUCCUAUUAUAAUGUGUACUUCUGCUUCUGGGCUCCGAAGACGUUGCCAAAAUCGGCAAUUUUGGUCUAGUACAAAAGCAGCAAUAGCACGAAGAUGUCAAAUACUAUAUUGCUCCAAGGAACUCGAGCUUAUAUCGAUCUUGAAGCUUUCCAUGGCACAAUUUCAAUGAAAAUGGAUAUAUUUAGCUACGAUGUCGUACUCCUAGAAUAAUUGAUUGGUUUACCAGCUUACGAUCACGAACGUGAAGAAGGAGAGACUUUGUUGAAUCGUGUCGAAGAAGUAGCCGAUGAGUCGACAGAUUUUACUGAUUUCCUGCAUAAACUACAUAGUUGGUUCUUGGGUUUAUCGAUAUUUGGACCAAUAUAAUACCUAUCUACAAUUUAUUCGAAAAAUGUAAGGCUUAAAAAAAGGAUAUUGACCGGAUACUCUCGAAGUACAUAGAUUAGUAAACGAGUGGGCGAAAGAUGGCGAGUCACCAUUUUUCGAUGUUGUAUGGGUUGCAUAGCUUUUAUAAUUGAAGGAGAACACAGGCGUACACACCUACGUUUGAAGAAUUCAUUCCAAAUACAUCACAAUUCAAAGCAAAAAUGAAUAGCUCUACAUAUUUUUUAUUCAUAGUAGCAUGUUUACUGCUGCUGUAUGGCGUUUCUUCGGCCCCUCCACACCUUGCUGAUCCAACUGGCAAUUUGCAUGAAGAUAAAACGUCUGAUCCACAAGUGCCUCUUAGUGAUGAUCAAAAAAAAAAUGAAGUAUGCAACCCAUAUGGGCCUGAAGAUUCACAGGGGGAUGAAGGAGAAGGGUGUGAACUACCCGUACCUUAUGAUGAUAAAAAAAUAAAAAAUAAAGAAUGCAACCCAUAUGGACCUGAAGAUCCACAGGGGGAUGAAGGAGAAGGGUGUGAACUGCGCAUACCUUAUGA